CUUCCUGCACGCAUGCUCUGGCUCACCAAAGGGAGAUUCUGAAUUUUUUUUUUUAUCGUGCUCAUGAUCAUCACCAUGAUGCUUCUUAUCAUGGUUAUCAUUUCCUCCUGCCAGGGAGAGCGACCACCAGCGCCUUCUCUCCGCCCGCCCCUUCCCCAGCGAAGGCAGCCACUAGGGCCGGGCCCUGGCGGCCGCUCCCUACAUGCGGACAUCCUUCGCCUCUCCGCAACCCUCCUUCAUUCAUGUGCAUGUACAUUUUCUUGAUCCCUUUUUAUUCCAGUAGAUGUACUGCCUUUCGUUGGAACGCCGCGGACUGAGACCAGUCCCUCAAGAAGAAGAACAAAAAGACGAAGACCUGAGUGGACCCCCCCCACCCACCCCCGCCCCGGACAAAGCACUUUGGGCUCGGCGAGAAGGGACCCGCCGGAGCGCUGCCUCGGGAAUACGAGUGAUCUCCGGUCCGCCCGGCGUGCGGACCUCCGAGGGGAUUCGAAUUUUAUUUAGCCUCUUGGUAUGAUUGAACGGUGUCAUUGUUGGGGAGGGGUUCCAUUUGCUGGUUUGUCUGGGUAUGGGAGCGGAACUGUGGGAGAUCGGAUAGACUUAACUUGGCUUUCCUGCUCCCUGCCUCACCCUCUCGAGAUCUGGGCGUUGAAGAGGAGACUGUGGAACAGGAGGCUUAGCUGAGUCGAAGCCCGAAGAUGAUGCCGGAGGGCUGAGGGGAUAGUGUGAGUAGGGAUGGGCCAGGUGGAGGAGGGUUGCGAAAAGAAGGAGUCUGUUUGAACCCCUCUCUGGGUUCAUAGGAUGAGUUUUGCCGGAGAUGAGAAUACUGGUGUCUGUUGAUAGGAGAUCUGAGAAAUUGAUGGAAAAUUGGUAUGUCCAUGUACACACUUAAGGAGUGUUUACACACUUGUGUGUAAACAGAGUGGAGAGGUAGAGGAGGGUAUAGAGGGAAAGGCUGAAAAUAAUGUCUUAUUAUCCCUUUGGUUUUGGGGACUCUCAUCCUCUGAUCCUCUCCCCCCGCUCUUUUUUUGUGGACCCAGGGAUCCAGCGCAUUAGACAAGAGUGACCUUUUAUAUCUGUGCCCACCCUUCACCUGCGAGAGGACUGCAGCAACCGAGUUCUGGAAGGCUGAUUCCCCAGAUUCUGGCCCCGGACCCCGGCAGCUCGCCCCUGCGGCACGCCCGGCCGGGUUGCGCCUGGACUCAGCAAGCUAGGAAAAAGCCUGGAUCCGAAAGGAUGGGGGAGAACAAAGAGCCUUUGCAAGACGUCGCUGUUAUCUCAUUGUCUGUGUGACUGGGGGAGCUGCGGUAGAGAGGAUGCUGUGGUCCUUUCCUCCCGGCGCUCCCCCACCCCCACGCCUUUCCCCGCUGUCAGUGCGCACGCACACGCGCCUCUUUUUACUUGUUUUUCCCGUUUUCUCAUUCCACCUUCUCCCCACCCGCCCCCCUGCUUUCUUCCACCUUUCCUUCCUUCCUCCUCUCCUUCCUCAGGAGAAAGGCCUCUCUCUCCGUGUUCACAGCGGACCUUGAUUUAAAUGUCCAUACAAUUAAGGCACGCGGUGAAUGCCAAGAAUGGGGCUGGCUGAGCACCCGUCGGUCCGCGAGGGCCCUGCGAGGAAGGAUCCACAGAGCCCAGUCGUCCUCCGCAGAGCUCAGCGCCGCGGCUUCGGGAGAGGGUGGGGGUGGAUGGGGGGGGCGGGGGUCGCGGGCUCGCGCCGGCUGGGCUGCCCCAACCGAAGCCUUUGGGGUGGGGAGGUGUGUAGCUUGUGACAGACAGGGGCUUAGAGAUGCAAACAAACUCAGAGAAACAGAAGCUGAUUCUGUGACGGAAACACAGCUCUGUGCAAGCACAGAUGGGGCGGGAGGAUGCUGUGAGCGCAUUGCGGAGUGCUUCCUGUGCAGAUUUUUCUCUGGGCUCCGGGUGCAUUGUAUGAGCGUCGACACCUUCCUUCACGGCUGCGUUUUUGCUCUGGUUUUAGCUUUUGGUUUACCCUUUAAACAAAUGACCAGGCAUCCAGGAGACUGGCAGAUUGUGCCAGGGCUGGGGCUGCAGAUAUAUUGGGUUCUGCUUGCUCUUGGGGUGGGGGCAGGGGAGCCCGCUGGAAGGGAGUAGGGAAGGGACUUGUCCCCCUUUGCUGUGGAGCUGUAGUUACAAGCUUAAGGAAGUCAUUGAGAUACGGGGAGGGGGAGGGGGUGCGGGGGGGGGGGGGGGCAUCAAACUCCUGGAGAGCUGAAAGUCUAGCCAGGACUCUGGGGAGCCGCUCACUUCCUCUUUGCGGCUGUGAUUGCAGUUGUAGGCAGAGAUCCGGGAGAUGAUGAGGGGGAGAGCUGCAGGAACCUACCUGGACCCAAGGGUUGAGGAGGGGAGGGUUCAUGCCUUUUAAAAAUCUCAACAGAAGGAAAACCAGAAUGUGUACAGGAGGGGCCGUGAGGAAAGAUUAUUUUUGAAAGAGGCCAUUCAGGGAAUGCAAAGGGUUAACCUGCCCUCCUCCUGAAGAACCUGCUACCCAAAUCAGCCUCCUCUACAUCACCAGACCUAGAGCAGCAGCUGGUCCUACGGAUCCCCCUGCUCUCCACAGGCACAGCCCCAUCCCACUUCUAACUCUGUUUUAACCGCCUCCACCCCCACCUUGAGCUCCAGUGGAUGGUGGAGACCUAAACUCAUUAAUUUCCAGGUGGAGAAAAUGUAGGCGGGUCAGGUCCCUGCAGAGAAAGGAGGCCAAGAACUGGAUCUUCCUACCCAGGAAGGCUUCUAUGAUCAUCCCUUUCCCCCGCCCUGGGCAGGGACCUGUCUCUACAAGGCCAAGGCCAUAAGGGAUGCUGAGGAUUUUAUUUGAUUCCUGACACAGUAAGCAAAACCUAAGAGUCUCCGCUGAAACUUGCUGAGGAGCUCUUUCAUCGCCAAAGCCUCAGCCUAGCCCACUCAGUCAAUUAGUAUUCAUGGACCCCUAGCCUUAUUUCCUCCCGAAUAUUUUUUUAGUACCUACUAUGUGCCAAUCAGUGUGUAAUUGUUGUAUCUUAGAUUCUUCCUUUGCCCUCCUAAGGGAGUGUCUGGAGUCAGGUGAGAUUAAGUUCACUGCGCCCCAUCUAGACACUUCCAGAACCUUCUUUGGGUCCGUCAGAAAUGCACCAGAACCUGCUCACCCCUGCAGAGAGGAGACUGCAGUCCACAUCAUGCAAACUGCAAGCGCAAUGCUGUCCUUCAGAUCCCAGAAUGCCAGCCUGGCUGGAGGACAGAAGACAAAGCAGCUUCUCUGGCCCCUGAGCCUUAGCCAGUGUUGUCUUAAGAGGCGCCCGCAGCCACCGCCUUCAAAGUAGUCCUCCCUCUAAACAGUCCCUCUUUGGUUCUCCUCUCCCUCCUCUGAGGGCUGCUCUUACAGUUCUUUGGGGCUGAUCUUAAGCCUCUGAUGACCAACCCUCGACCCCACAGUUGUUCACAUAAAUGAGCUUUAUCUCCCUAAUUGCUUCCCUGUAAUUCCAUCAGAUGUGGCCGUGCCCUCUGCUGAUGUGCCUGCUGCCAGCAUCUCCAGACGCCUUUCCCGAGUAAUGUCCCUCUAAGGUGGAAACCUAACACGCUUCUCCCUGAGAGUUUAAACCGCAGGCACCAUGGACCAGGCUUCCGGCUUCCUGCUGCAGAUCAUUAGGAGGGAGGGGCAUGCUUUAUUUUAUUACUUAUGUAAACUCUUGUUCCAGAAAGCUCUUACGUGUGGGGAGUGUUCUGGGUUUGUUGGGGCUUUUCCGGUAUUCACCAGGUCUCAUUAUGAAAUGUGUUUGUAUGGAGGGGGCUUUAAUGGCUGAAAUGGCAGCGAUGAAUACACCGCUCUGCCCCCUGGGUAAUUUCAAGGCCCCUUUUGUGAGCACCAAAUAGAGGUGUGGGGUGAAGGUCAGUCCCGGCAUCUUCUUUCGGCUCUGUUAGAGGCUUGUUUAUGCCUAGCGAUACCUAGGUAAGAAACCUAACAAUUUCUGCUCUUUCAAAGCAUUUUUUUUUAAGUCUGUAUUUGUUACAAUACUGCUUUUGUUUUGUUGGGGUUUUUUGGCCGGGAGGCAUAUGGGAUCUUGGCUGCCCACUGGGGAUGGAACCUACACCCCCUGUAUUGGAAGGUAGAGUCUUCUUUUAACUCUCGACAUAUCUUCACCUCUACCCAUUUGAGCCCCUCUAAUUACAACCUAUGGCUUAAAUGAAGGAAAAACUAUUUUUUUUAAAAAAAUAUGGGACAUGUUUGAGGCAGUUUGCCGACUGAAUAUGCUCUGAAGACCCAUGCCAUCGUUCACACACACCACCAUUAUUAUGGUCCUCAACGUGAAAAGCAUCAUUAUGGUCCUCAUCGUGAUGGCCGCUCAUAGGUUUCUCAAGGAGUCAGUAUCAGAUACUUUAAGAUGGAUUUAGAAAUGUAUCAAAGGAAAAAUUGGUAACAUUCUUCUUUCCCCUGCCAGAGACCGCCCAGGCCCAGAACUCUAAGCAGAAAAGCAACUGAACUUUUAACAAAGGCAAAGGUAAAUUCCAACCAUCACCACUACUUUCCUGUUGCCCACAGGGUGGGGAAAGGGGACAGUUUUUGUGAGCUCUUGAGGAGCCUUAGCCAGAGAAAUAAAUAUUUGGGAGUAGGGGUAAUUUCUCAGCAGGCAUAUGCUCAUAUACACAUAAAUGGAGAUUUUUCUCACACAGUCAUAUCUAUUGCUGGUAUUUAUCGGAAAGUAUUGAAUCACACAAACACACACACACACAAUCCAUCCACCUAUCCUGUCUCUGGAGAGAAAUAAUUUUCUCUUUCCUUCUACUGAACUUACAUAAUAUCCCCACCCCUUGUUCCAACCUUAGACGUGAGUCCUCCGGGGGCAGCUGUAAAGCCUUCUUCCUAGGACAGAUGGAACCACCCUUCCUCAGCUACUCUGUGGGUGGGUUUAGUGAGUCAAUAGGGGCUGAGGGAUGUUCUGGUGGCUUGUGUUUGUGGCUUGCCUGGCUGAUUCACGGUGCUGAGUAUGUCAAUAACAAUUAUGACAGUUUUAAUACCUAAUAAAGAUGUUUUCUUCCAA